GAUGAACGCUAGCGGGACGCCUAACACAUGCAAGUCAAACGGGUUUUAUUUUGUAGCAAUACGAGAUAAAACUAGUGGCAAACGAGCGAGUAACGCGUACCUAACCUGCCCCAAAGAUGGGAACAACUAUAGAGAUAUAGCUAAUUCCCAAUAUUGUCUGAUGAAUGAAAAUAGUCAGACCAAAGAUUUAUCGCUUUGGGAGGGGGGUGCGUCCUAUCAUGGUAGUUGGUGAGGUAAUGGCUCACCAAGCCUUUGACGGGUAGCCGGCCUAAGAUGGUGUUCGGCCGCGAUGGAACUGAGAUACGGUCCAUACUCCUACGGGUGGCAG
rnacentral:rRNA from 1 species